AGUGAACGCUGGCGGUAGGCCUAACACAUGCAAGUCGAACGGCAGCACAGUAAGAGCUUGCUCUUACGGGUGGCGAGUGGCGGACGGGUGAGGAAUACAUCGGAAUCUACUUUUUCGUGGGGGAUAACGUAGGGAAACUUACGCUAAUACCGCAUACGACCUACGGGUGAAAGCAGGGGAUCUUCGGACCUUGCGCGAUUGAAUGAGCCGAUGUCGGAUUAGCUAGUUGGCGGGGUAAAGGCCCACCAAGGCGACGAUCCGUAGCUGGUCUGAGAGGAUGAUCAGCCACACUGGAACUGAGACACGGUCCAGAAUCCUACGGGAGGCAGCAGUGGGGAAUAUUGGACAAUGGGCGCAAGCCUGAUCCAGCCAUACCGCGUGGGUGAAGAAGGCCUUCGGGUUGUAAAGCCCUUUUGUUGGGAAAGAAAAGCAGCAGGUUAAUACCACGCUGUUCUGACGGUACCCAAAGAAUAAGCACCGGCUAACUUCGUG
rnacentral:rRNA from 1 species